UACGUAGGGUGCGAGCGUUUGUCCGGAUUUAUUGGGCGUAAAGAGCUCGUAGGCGGUUUGUCGCGUCUGUCGUGAAAGUCCGGGGCUUAACCCCGGAUCUGCGGUGGGUACGGGCAGACUAGAGUGCAGUAGGGGAGACUGGAAUUCCUGGUGUAGUGGUGGAAUGCGCAGAUAUCAGGAGGAACACCGAUGGCGAAGGCAGGUCUCUGGGCUGUAACUGACGCUGAGGAGCGAAAGCAUGGGGAGCGAACAGG
rnacentral:rRNA from 1 species